rnacentral:rRNA from 1 species
CAUGGUGGUACCACCCUGAACAUGCCAGGAUCUCUUCCGAUCUCAGAAGCAAAGCAGGGUCAGGCCUGGUUAGUACUUGAAUGGCAGUAUAAUGAUGAAUAUUACCUACUAUCAUUA